rnacentral:rRNA from 1 species
AUGUGGUUUAAUUCGAAGCAACGCGUAAGAACCUUACCAGGCCUUGACAUGCAGAGAACUUUCCAGAGAUGGAUUGUGCCUUCGGGAACUCUGACACAGGUGCUGCAUGGCUGUCGUCAGCUCGUGUCGUGAGAGUGUUGGGUUAAGUCCCGUAACGAGCGCAACCCUUGUCCUUAGUUACCAGCACGUUAAGGUGGGCACUCUAAGGAGACUGCCGGUGACAAACCGGAGGAAGGUGGGGAUGACGUCAAGUCAUCAUGGCCCUUACGGCCUGGGCUACACACGUGCUACAAUGGCCGGUACAAAGGGCAGCCACUCAGCGAUGAGGCGCUAAUCCCAUAAAGCCGGUCUCAGUCCGGAUCGCAGUCUGCAGCUCGACUGCGUGAAGUUGGAAUCGCUAGUAAUCGUAGAUCAGCAUGCUACGGUGAAUACGUUCCCGGGCCUU